UAAAGUGCGAUAUGUAGUGCAAUUUGCAUGAAUCUGUGAGUCAUCUAAUCUUUGAACGCAACUUGCGCCGGGAUCCGGCAUGUUUGUUCGAGGGCCGCAAUGAAAAAUAAUGCGUGAGCAUGAAGUGACCUUUGUCGUUUUGACUGGGUUGAAACAGAGUCAGUGAAUGGCAAGUGUGUCAAGCCGAGUGCUAAGCAUUCUUGGCUCAACCACACUCAACCAUAUCAACCAAUCUACUCUCUGGCCUCGAAUCAAGCAAGAUUACCCGCUGAACUUAA
rnacentral:misc_RNA from 1 species